rnacentral:misc_RNA from 1 species
UUUACUUAGAUAUGCAAGCAACCUCUCCGUCGCCCCCGAAGUGAAGACGAUUUCUUUAGGAGAUGCACCGAUUAAAUCCGCCACCUGAGAGCGGGCAGUCUCUACGGCGGAAUCGGACUCCCAGCCGUAGAGGUGGGUACGAGAGUGAGGGUUGCCGAAACGCGCCAGAUAAUAGGGAAGCAUCGCAUCCAAGACUCUGGGGUCCACCGGAGA